CAGUAGCCGCGGGAAUACGAAGGGGGCUAGCGUUGUUCGGAAUUACUGGGCGUAAAGCGCACGUAGGCGGAUAUUUAAGUCAGGGGUGAAAUCCCGCAGCUCAACUGCGGAACUGCCUUUGAUACUGGGUAUCUUGAGUAUGGAAGAGGUUAGUGGAAUUGCGAGUGUAGAGGUGAAAUUCGUAGAUAUUCGUAGGAACACCAGUGGCGAAGGCGGCUAACUGGUCCAUAACUGACGCUGAGGUGCGAAAGCGUGGGGAGCAAACAGGAUUAGAUACCCCUGUAGUCCCUGUCUCUUAUAC
rnacentral:rRNA from 1 species